rnacentral:rRNA from 1 species
GACGAACGCUGGCGGCGUGCCUAAUACAUGCAAGUUGAGCGCUGAAGGUUGGUACUUGUACCAACUGGAUGAGCAGCGAACGGGUGAGUAACGCGUGGGGAAUCUGCCUUUGAGCGGGGGACAACAUUUGGAAACGAAUGCUAAUACCGCAUAAAAACUUUAAACACAAGUUUUAAGUUUGAAAGAUGCAAUUGCAUCACACAAAGAUGAUCCCGCGUUGUAUUAGCUAGUUGGUGAGGUAAAGGCUCACCAAGGCGAUGAUACAUAGCCGACCUGAGAGGGUGAUCGGCCACAUUGGGACUGAGACACGGCCCAAACUCCUACGGGAGGCAGCAGUAGGGAAUCUUCGGCAAUGGACGAAAGUCUGACCGAGCAACGCCGCGUGAGUGAAGAAGGUUUUCGGAUCGUAAAACUCUGUUGGUAGAGAAGAACGUUGGUGAGAGUGGAAAGCUCAUCAAGUGACGGUAACUACCCAGAAAGGGACGGCUAACUACGUG